rnacentral:rRNA from 1 species
GUCCUGUUGAUUAUAAUUUCAGGUCUAACCUGCCCAAUGAUUUUUAAAUGGCCGCGGUAUAUUGACCGUGCAAAGGUAGCAUAAUCACUAGUUUUUUAAUUGAAAGCUUGUAUGAAAGGUUUGAUGAAGGGGUUUCUGUCUCUAGGAAAUUUUAUUAGAAUUUUAUUUUUAAGUAAAAAAGCUUAGAUUAUUAUAGAAGACGAGAAGACCCUAUAGAGUUUUAUAUUUUUAUUUGUUAAUGAAUUUAGUUAGGAAAGUUUGUUUAACAAAUAAAAAUAUUUUAUUGGGGUGAUGAAAAAAUUGAAUUAACUUUUUUUAAAUAUAAACAUUUAUUUGUGAGUAUGUGAUCCUGUUUUUUAGAUUGAAAGAAUGAAUUACCUUAGGGAUAACAGCGUAAUUUUCUCUAGAGCUCUGAUUGAAAGGAAAGAUUGCGACCUCGAUGUUGGAUUAAAAUAAAUUAAUGGUGAAGAAGCUAUAUUAAUUAGGUCUGUUCGACCUUUGAUAUUUUACAUGAUCUGAGUUUAGACCGGUGUGAG